rnacentral:rRNA from 1 species
GUUGGGUAGGGGAGCGUUCUGUAAGCCUGCGAAGGUGGCCUGUGAGGGUUGCUGGAGGUAUCAGAAGUGCGAAUGCUGACAUAAGUAACGAUAAAGCGGGUGAAAAGCCCGCUCGCCGGAAGACCAAGGGUUCCUGUCCAACGUUAAUCGGGGCAGGGUGAGUCGACCCCUAAGGCGAGGCCGAAAGGCGUAGUCGAUGGGAAACGGGUUAAUAUUCCCGUACUUGGUGUUACUGCGAAGGGGGGACGGAGAAGGCUAUGUUGGCCGGGCGACGGUUGUCCCGGUUUAAGCGUGUAGGUGUGUGUUCCAGGUAAAUCCGGUUCACUUUAACACUGAGGCGUGAUGACGAGGCACUACGGUGCUGAAGCAACAAAUGCCCUGCUUCCAGGAAAAGCCUCUAAGCAUCAGGUAACAUCAAAUCGUACCCCAAACCGACACAGGUGGUCAGGUAGAGAAUACCAAGGCGCUUGAGAGAACUCGGGUGAAGGAACUAGGCAAAAUGGUGCCGUAACUUCGGGAGAAGGCACGCUGACAUGUAGGUGAAGUGAUUUACUCAUGGAGCUGAAGUCAGUCGAAGAUACCAGCUGGCUGCAACUGUUUAUUAAAAACACAGCACUGUGCAAACACGAAAGUGGACGUAUACGGUGUGACGCCUGCCCGGUGCCGGAAGGUUAAUUGAUGGGGUCAGCGCAAGCGAAGCUCCUGAUCGAAGCCCCGGUAAACGGCGGCCGUAACUAUAACGGUCCUAAGGUAGCGAAAUUCCUUGUCGGGUAAGUUCCGACCUGCACGAAUGGCGUAAUGAUGGCCAGGCUGUCUCCACCCGAGACUCAGUGAAAUUGAACUCGCUGUGAAGAUGCAGUGUACCCGCGGCAAGACGGAAAGACCCCGUGAACCUUUACUAUAGCUUGACACUGAACAUUGAGCCUUGAUGUGUAGGAUAGGUGGGAGGCUUUGAAGUGUGGACGCCAGUCUGCAUGGAGCCGGCCUUGAAAUACCACCCUUUAAUGUUUGAUGUUCUAACGUGGACCCGUGAUCCGGGUUGCGGACAGUGUCUGGUGGGUAGUUUGACUGGGGCGGUCUCCUCCUAAAGAGUAACGGAGGAGCACGAAGGUUGGCUAAUCCUGGUCGGACAUCAGGAGGUUAGUGCAAUGGCAUAAGCCAGCUUGACUGCGAGCGUGACGGCGCGAGCAGGUGCGAAAGCAGGUCAUAGUGAUCCGGUGGUUCUGAAUGGAAGGGCCAUCGCUCAACGGAUAAAAGGUACUCCGGGGAUAACAGGCUGAUACCGCCCAAGAGUUCAUAUCGACGGCGGUGUUUGGCACCUCGAUGUCGGCUCAUCACAUCCUGGGGCUGAAGUAGGUCCCAAGGGUAUGGCUGUUCGCCAUUUAAAGUGGUACGCGAGCUGGGUUUAGAACGUCGUGAGACAGUUCGGUCCCUAUCUGCCGUGGGCGCUGGAGAACUGAGGGGGGCUGCUCCUAGUACGAGAGGACCGGAGUGGACGCAUCACUGGUGUUCGGGUUGUCAUGCCAAUGGCACUGCCCGGUAGCUAAAUGCGGAAGAGAUAAGUGCUGAAAGCAUCUAAGCACGAAACUUGCCCCGAGAUGAGUUCU